rnacentral:lncRNA from 1 species
AAAGACCCAAGCCAUCCCCUUGCUUCUAGCUUCUUGCCUCUCCCUCACUCUUGUGAGCAUGUGACAGAAGUGGAAAUACAGCAGUGAGGAGGCAAAGCAGCAGUACACUCAGACUGGAUCUAUUCCAGGGAAUAAUAAUAGUGACUGAGUUUCAGAUAAAAGAAAAAAGAAAGACAAGAUGUUGUUUUACUUCCGUGAUUCUUGGGAAAAUGCAAAAAUACCAAUUAAGCUGUAAUUUUAACUCACAGCUGUCUUUCAAUGCCAAUGAAAAAGAGGAGCAGGACAAAGCAGUACAAAUAAAAAUGUGAUACAGAAUAUUAAGAUGAAGCUAAAUUAAUUAUGCAAAAUACAAUUCAGCGGCUUAGGAGGCAUUUUUUUUUUUCUUACUGAAUGUAUGGGAACUACUGAGUCACAGACUGAACCACUGAUUGAUCACCUGAGGCAAGGGCUGAGUCAGCCCUGGGAGCACAGGUGAAGGCAAUUCACCUGUUUGACCAGAAGGGGUGGAGCCUAGCUGCACCUCUACUAGAUCUGUUUAAAGGCUGACUGAAGCUGCAGAAGGAUCUCUUUCUGGAGAUUCUCCCUUUGGAGUCUUCUACUGUGAGCCUAGGACACGGCUGAAAUGGGACAGAGUUUAUUGAUGGGCUUUCCUUCUGGAUUCCAUUGGCUUGAAGAGGUGGGGAUCUGUAAAGUCUGCAGUGCAUGAAGACUUCUCAUCCCCUUCCUCUGCAGUUCAGCCUCAGGGAAGGACCCUGUCAGGACUGGGUCCGAAGUGUCUUGGUGCUCUGUUUACUCUUGCUCUUGAAUAAACUCUGAGGGCUUUCAAUUGGGGCACUACAGACACCAGCAUGUCUAAAUGAAUUGAACACCUGCUGACACGAAUGCCCUAGUAUUUGAAGUUUUGUCUGUACUAAAUUGUAAUUUUUCUAUUUUGUAAAAAAAAAAAAAUCUGUUAAAAAGAUAAGUGGAUGAACAGCAGAAGGGUGUUGUGCAGGGUGCUCUGUAGUGCAAGCCCAGAGUGCAAAAUUUGC